CCCCGUGUGGCUCAGUUGGUAGAGCCUGGUGUUUGCAACGCCAGGGUUGUGGGUUCGAUUCCCACGGGGG
rnacentral:tRNA from 1 species